UGAGUAACACGUGGGUGAUCUGCCCUGCACUUUGGGAUAAGCCUGGGAAACUGGGUCUAAUACCGAAUAGGACCGCGCGCUUCAUGGUGUGUGGUGGAAAGCUUUUGCGGUGUGGGAUGGGCCCGCGGCCUAUCAGCUUGUUGGUGGGGUAAUGGCCUACCAAGGCGACGACGGGUAGCCGGCCUGAGAGGGUGUCCGGCCACACUGGGACUGAGAUACGGCCCAGACUCCUACGGGAGGCAGCAGUGGGGAAUAUUGCACAAUGGGCGCAAGCCUGAUGCAGCGACGCCGCGUGGGGGAUGACGGCCUUCGGGUUGUAAACCUCUUUCAGUAUCGGCGAAGCUCCAGGAUUCUUCUUGGGGUGACGGUAGGUACAGAAGAAGCACCGGCCAACUACGUGCCAGCAGCCGCGGUAAUACGUAGGGUGCGAGCGUUGUCCGGAAUUACUGGGCGUAAAGAGCUCGUAGGUGGUUUGUCACGUUGUCCGUGAAAACUCACAGCUUAACUGUGGGCGUGCGGGCGAUACGGGCAGACUGGAGUACUGUAGGGGAGACUGGAAUUCCUGGUGUAGCGGUGGAAUGCGCAGAUAUCAGGAGGAACACCGGUGGCGAAGGCGGGUCUCUGGGCAGUAACUGACGCUGAGGAGCGAAAGCGUGGGGAGCGAACAGGAUUAGAUACCCUGGUAGUCCACGCCGUAAACGGUGGGUACUAGGUGUGGGUUUCCUUCCUUUAGGGAUCCGUGCCGUAGCUAACGCAUUAAGUACCCCGCCUGGGGAGUACGGCCGCAAGGCUAAAACUCAAAGGAAUUGACGGGGGCCCGCACAA
rnacentral:rRNA from 1 species